rnacentral:lncRNA from 1 species
CAGAGAUGAAGCUCCUGGUAACUCCACCGCAGAGUCUCGUCAUGCUGCUUCCGCCGCUGCUGCUGCUGCUGCUCUGCUUUACCGCAGUCCACUCCAGCGGACCAGUGCAAACCUGCUGCCUCAAAACGACGGACACCAUCCUGCCCCUCAGCAAAAUAGCGGGAUACUACAGUCAGAAGGCCGGGCUUUGUCCAGUCGAUGCCGUAGUAUUCGUCACCGUUAAGAAUGUAAAAAUCUGCUCACCCCCCAAUAAACUUUGGGUGAAAAGGGCAGUGAAGUAUUUUGGCAGCAAGAAGACAAAGGACGGGAAGAAAGUAACGCCUCCCCAAUAGACGACACUGGAAACGCCCAGGAGUUGGACUUUUCAUUUAAUCCCGAGUCACCACUGUGCCCACAGACCUUUAGGGUUAAGCUAUUUAAUUUUUUUAUUUAACUUUUACAAAAGGAACGUAAUUGCUAUAUAGUACGCCAUGCA